rnacentral:lncRNA from 1 species
GCGGUGGCGCCCGCGUGCCCCACGGUGGCGCCCGCGCACCCCACCGGUGGCGCCCGCGUGCCCCACGGUGGGCGCCCGAGCGCCCCAUGGUGGCAUGGGGACACGCUCACACUACGUGAAUCUCGUGGUCAUGUGACGCUCUAUGUUCGCGCGAGAAUGGGGGCACCGUUUAAACGGUUGGAGAGCCUCCUGAACGGCUCUUGGUAGGUCAGUUUAGUUUUCUGAGAAGUCAGACCACUCCGUGAGGAAAACCUUUAGAAUUAAGCGCUUUAGGAUUUGUUCUACAAAACACUAUGUCUGAGAGACAACCAAAAAAUACUCAUCCAACAAAGAACAAUGGGAUACACAAAAAUGAAGAAUACAGAGGUGAUGAAAGUUCACCUGAAGGAAGAAAUGAAGGUUGGAGUUCUUUCCAAGAUCAUUUUGACAAGAGGAGCCCUCAUUAUGAAGAUGAUGGAUAUGAGACUCAGCCUUCACACCACUGUGAUGAUGAUGGAAGUAUGGUGAUGAGGAAUGUCCAUGAGGGCCCUAAAGAAAGACACUCUCCCUAUUCCUUCCAAAGCAACAGGAGAGUGAGAUGGCACAGAGAAGGCAAUAUCCAUGUUACUGUGUGGGGAAAUGGAAAACCUGUGAUGAGAGAAAUGAGGGAGAACCCACAAGAUGGUGCCCAAGGGAGCUGGUUUAAGGUCACAGUGAGUAUCCUGAAAAAAGUAUGGAAUNNAGAGGAGCCUGGU